GGAUGAGCCCGCGGCCUAUCAGCUAGUUGGUGAGGUAACGGCUCACCAAGGCAAUGACGGGUAGCUGGUCUGAGAGGACGACCAGCCACACUGGAACUGAGACACGGUCCAGACACCUACGGGUGGCAGCAGUCGAGAAUUUUUCUCAAUGGGGGAAACCCUGAAGGAGCGACGCCGCGUGGAGGAAGAAGGUCUUCGGAUUGUAAACUCCUGUCAUUGGGGAACAAUCCCUUGGGGAGUAACUGCCCUGAGGUUGAUAGUACCCGAAGAGGAAGGGACGGCUAACUCUGUGCCAGCAGCCGCGGUAAUACAGAGGUCCCGAGCGUUGUUCGGAUUCAUUGGGCGUAAAGGGUGCGUAGGCGGUAGGGUAAGUUGGAUGUGAAAUGCCGGAGCUCAACUCCGGAGCUGCAUUCAAUACUGCUCUGCUAGAGUACUGGAGGGGAGAUUGGAAUUCACGGUGUAGCAGUGAAAUGCGUAGAUAUCGUGAGGAAGACCAGUGGCGAAGGCGAAUCUCUGGACAGUAACUGACGCUGAGGCACGAAGGCUAGGGGAGCAAACGGGAUUAGAUACCCCGGUAGUCCUAGCAGUAAACGGUGCACGUUUAGUAUGGGAGGAAUCGACCCCUUCCGUGCUGGAGCUAACGCGUUAAACGUGCCGCCUGGGGAGUACGGUCGCAAGAUUAAAACUCAAAGAAAUUGACGGGGGC
rnacentral:rRNA from 1 species